UGGCCCCGGUGGCCGAAUGGGUAAUGCGGCCACCUGGUAGCGCCUUGGCGUGGGGACCCAAGGCGCGUGGGUUCGAAACCCGCAGGGGACAACAUUACAUCCAGAGCCAACUUCUCAGCUCCUAAAAUAAUGGGAUGUGAACCUGGUACCUUCGGGCGGACCUACUACUUGAUUUAGCUGAUUUUUCCUGGGCUGGGAACCUGUAUUGCAUGUACCAAAUCCUGUCUUUUAUUAAUUUUCCUAUGUUCCUGUUAUAUUCUUGGCGUCGUUCAACACUAAGCAUUCCUCCUGUAUAACCAACUCUUGCCUGUAUUUAACAUCACACAAGGACUCGUCAUAAGCACUGCUUGCAUAUGAGUAUA
rnacentral:sRNA from 1 species